rnacentral:rRNA from 1 species
GAUGAACGCUGGCGGCGUGCCUAAUACAUGCAAGUCGAGCGAACAGACGAGGAGCUUGCUCCUCUGACGUUAGCGGCGGACGGGUGAGUAACACGUGGAUAACCUACCUAUAAGACUGGGAUAACUUCGGGAAACCGGAGCUAAUACCGGAUAACAUGUUGAACCGCAUGGUUCAACAGUGAAAGACGGUCUUGCUGUCACUUAUAGAUGGAUCCGCGCCGCAUUAGCUAGUCGGUAAGGUAACGGCUUACCAAGGCAACGAUGCGUAGCCGACCUGAGAGGGUGAUCGGCCACACUGGAACUGAGACACGGUCCAGACUCCUACGGGAGGCAGCAGUAGGGAAUCUUCCGCAAUGGGCGAAAGCCUGACGGAGCAACGCCGCGUGAGUGAAGAAGGUCUUCGGAUCGUAAAACUCUGUUAUUAGGGAAGAACAAAUGUGUAAGUAACUAUGCACGUCUUGACGGUACCUAAUCAGAAAGCCACGGCUAACUACGUG